ensembl:misc_RNA Metazoa_SRP Metazoan signal recognition particle RNA
GCUGGGCAGAGUGGUGUGAGCCAGAAGUCCCAGCUACUUGGGAGGCUGAGGCAGGAGGAUCACUUGAGUCCAAGAGUUCUGGGUUGUAGUGCGCCAUGUCAAUCGGGUGUCUACACUAAGCUCAGUAUCAAUAUGGUGAGCUCCCUGGGAGAGGGGAGCCACCAGAUUGCCUAAGGAGGGCUGAAAUGGCCCAGAUCAGAAACAGAGCAGGUCAAAACUCCCGUGCUGAUCCAGUAGUGGGAUCGCUCCUGUAAAUAGCCACAACACUCCAGCCUGGGCAACAUAGUGAGACCCUGUCUCAA